rnacentral:rRNA from 1 species
UACAGAGGUCCCAAGCGUUGUUCGGAUUCACUGGGCGUAAAGGGUGCGUCGGUGGUUGGGUAAGUCUGAUGUGAAAUCUCCGGGCUUAACUCGGAAACUGCCAUUGAUACUAUCUGUCUUGAAUACCGUGGAGGUUAGCGGAAUAUGUCAUGUAGCGGUGAAAUGCUUAGAUAUGACAUAGAACACCAAUUGCGAAGGCAGCUGGCUACACGAAUAUUGACACUGAUGCACGAAAGCGUGGGGAUCAAACAGG